UCAGCUUAGAAGUCCUCCCAGCUUGCACAGUAUUUUUAUAUGGUUCUGUCUUAGGCCAGAUAAGCUGAAAGAUUUUUAUUCAAGAACUUAAAACAUAAGACUGCCUAAACUGUGUUUCUCAGUCGUUAUUCUUUUUUUAUUUCAUUGCAAAAAGCAAAAACUCCCACAACUCUUUGGCUUUUCAAAUCAACUUUGAUAUCAGUGAGACUGAUAUGAGUUAAGUUAUUGACUUAACAUCUCCAAGCUUACUUCAAGAAUCCUACAAAUUGCCAUAAUUUGAAUAAAGACCUUCUUGUGAGCUAUAAUGAUAAUUUCAGUAAGAAACACUUUAAAAAAUUUAAGAAAAAAAUCAGAAUUAGUUAUGUUUUUCCAGCUAAUAUCAAGGUUUGCUGGAAAAAAAGAAAUCUCUCUGCAACCUUGGGAAAUUGCUUAAACUCUCUUCUACAGUUGUAGAGAAGAGAUAUUUCGGUUACAGUAGAUGUUAACUGAAGUUUUUCCAAGUGUACUUUUUGUGUUCUCUGUAAUGUGUUCUUUAUUAUAUACAGCGUACAGUGAAAGAAAUGACCCUUCACCCCUCCAGUUUGAAAUCACAUGGGAGGUGAAGGGAUACACCACACCAGAGGCUGACGGUCAAAUGGAAGAACAGCAAUCACCAGAGCCAGUUGUCUCUACCGGAGAGCAUCAGUCAGGAAGGAGCUGACAACUGAGCUGCCCUGGGGAAGGAAGCUUCUCAGAAAUAAUUUUAUCAGGGGAGAAUAAUUUCAGUAAACCUCGUAUUCAAAGUUGCUGAAGAUUUUGCUUUGCUUCAUGAGAACAUCAUAAAGCAUGUGCAAGACAACCAGAGGAUCAGGCCCAGCCAGCAUGGAUUCAUGAAAAAAGAACUACCAUAUGAAAGCACCAUUCCUUCCUUUCUAAAUAUUUCUUGGAAAUCACAUUCCUAAAUUACAUAGGCAAACCUCCACAAGAAGAUAAAUCCUGUCUGAAAUCAAAGUCAUGGAAAUGGCACCUCUGGUAAGUAGCAUCUGGGCAUGUGACUCAGUAAUACAAAGGCAGUCGUACAGUCACAAGUCCUUAGGAAGUGCAGUUGACAAGAAUGUCAGAAGUAAAGAACAGAGAAGCCAUUUCAUGAACAUCUUUUCAGCUACAACCUGCAGUACAAAAUUCUCUUAUUGCAUAUCUUCUUUUCAAAAUCUAUUUUAUAUAGUGUAUACAUAUAUAUAUAUAUUUGUAAGGUAUUGGGCUAGGCAGUAAUUGGUACAAGAUAGCUUGGCACUAAUGAAUAGUGUUUAAACAGUGAACAAAGCUCUCUUUUGUUUUUGCUUUUUAAUUAAAAGAGAGGUGAUCUUUUGUACAGAAGAAUAGAAACCACCCAAGUUCAACUCCUGGACUGCCUUGCAGAGGGAUCCUUUUCUCUCUGCUGAGAGACCUGAUUUUGACACCGAAGUUGGAAUAUGCCAGGACAAACAUCUCAAUAAACAGACACUUACAUGAGUGUGUUGAAACUAAUUCUGAAAAUAAUCUCUCCUGAUGCAGGCAUUUCUUUCUGUAAAGCUUAUUUCACACUUCACAGGUCACUUCACCUGAAACCACCAUUUUCACACCUUCUUUGUAUGGUUGUUACUCACAGACAACAGUUACAGGACCAGGCU